rnacentral:rRNA from 1 species
GUGGGGAAUAUUGGACAAUGGGCGAAAGCCUGAUCCAGCCAUGCCGCGUGUGUGAAGAAGGUCUUCGGAUUGUAAAGCACUUUAAGUUGGGAGGAAGGGCAGUAAGUUAAUACCUUGCUGUUUUGACGUUACCGACAGAAUAAGCACCGGCUAACUUCGUGCCAGCAGCCGCGGUAAUACGAAGGGUGCAAGCGUUAAUCGGAAUUACUGGGCGUAAAGCGCGCGUAGGUGGUUUUGUAAGUUGGAGGUGAAAUCCCCGGGCUCAACCUGGGAACUGCCUCAAAAACGGCAUGACUAGAGUACGGUAGAGGGUAGUGGAAUUUCCUGUGUAGCGGUGAAAUGCGUAGAUAUAGGAAGGAACACCAGUGGCGAAGGCGACUACCUGGACUGAUACUGACACUGAGGUGCGAAAGCGUGGGGAGCAAACAGGAUUAGAUACCCCAGUAGUCC